rnacentral:rRNA from 1 species
GACGAACGCUGGCGGCGUGCUUAACACAUGCAAGUCGUACGGUAAGGCCCUUUCGGGGGUACACGAGUGGCGAACGGGUGAGUAACACGUGAGUAACCUGCCCACAACUUUGGGAUAACGCUAGGAAACUGGUGCUAAUACUGGAUAUGUGCUCCUGCUGCAUGGUGGGGGUUGGAAAGCUCCGGCGGUUGUGGAUGGACUCGCGGCCUAUCAGCUUGUUGGUGGGGUAGUGGCCUACCAAGGCGGCGACGGGUAGCCGGCCUGAGAGGGUGACCGGCCACAUUGGGACUGAGAUACGGCCCAGACGCCUACGGGAGGCAGCAGUGGGGAAUAUUGCACAAUGGGCGCAAGCCUGAUGCAGCAACGCCGCGGGCGGGAUGACGGCCUUCGGGUUGGAAACCGCUUUCAGCAGGGACGAAGCUUUUUGUGACGGUACCUGCAGAAGAAGCACCGGCUAACUACGUG